UUUGUUUCUGUUUUGUUUUCCUUAGAAAUCGUUUUAUAUUUUUUUAUUUCAUAGAUAACAGUUCUAGCAGUUUGACUGCAAAUAAAAACUGAAUGUCAUAGCAGUUUAACUGCACAUAAAAUGAUUUGUAUAGCAGUGUGUCUGCUAAAGUGUUAUUCAUUUGUGAAGACAAAGUAAUAAACAGUCACUUAUAAUCCUAGCUACAAGUUAGUUUAUACCUCACGAAAAAAAUAACAAGACUACAGAAAAAAUAUACAUUUAAUUUGUAAACUACAAUGCACAUAGGCGGAUCCGCCACUGAUGCAGUAUUUAUAUGUACAAUCAUUUAAACAAUUGUCUUUUUAUCAAUGAUAAUUGUAAAAGAAGUAAAAAUUCUACACAAAAUUGAAACAAAAAUGAUAUACAUGAAUACGUUUUUACAAUUUAGAUAUAAAACAUAAAAUGAGAGAAAAUCUGAUAUUUUAAAGGAAAACUAAACAUGAAACAAAUGGCUUUAUUAGAAAGGACAACCAAGUUGUCUAGAGUGAUACUAUUGUACUGUGUUUUAGUGUUUAUAGUUUUGUCAUUGUGUAGUUGAUAUAGAUGUGUGAAUGAAAUCCAGAUUUGUUGGUAUGCAUGUCAUGUUGUGCAAGUAAAACAGGGGAGGUAAUUCAGAUUUGUUAGAAUCAUUUUAUGUGACUUCAUUUUUUUUAUUCUACUUGUAUAAGGAUGAUACAAUCAUAUACUUGUAUUUUCAUACAGAAAUCUAUCAUUUCAUGUAAACAAAACUUUGCAUUCCAUUUAGAUGUUCAUAUUUUCGUUCAAUUUCAAUCAAUCAUAUUACAGAUUUUGUUAAACCUAAAUAUAUAAGUUGUCUUUAUGACACAAGAGAAAGUUAAAGAUGGAGAUAAGAAUUCACUCUGUUAUCAUGUAGGAUCUGAAGAAAUUCACAUGUUACAGAACAUUGAAUAUCAUUAUAAACAUGGCUUCCAAGAGACUCAGUGUUUUCCUUUUUUCACUAAGGUAAGGUGGGUGUUUUAAAAAAAUAAGUUGCAACCGGGUAGUUUUUUUAAAAAAAUAUCCAACCUUUUUUAAUUUACUGUGGAUGCACGUGGGGGUCACAGAAAUAAAGAUUAGUAUAAUAUUCACAUUUAAUGGAGUUGAACAAACAUAAAUAAAAGUGUCAAAUAUUCUUUGAUUUUAUUUUUUCAAAAAUUUUUCUUUUAUCUCUUCUUUCAAUUACAAUUAUGCACCAGCAUGGAUUUAAGGCCUUUCGAUCCAGGUUUCUGUCCUGUUCCUUGCUUUUGUGCCGUAUUUUUGGCACACAGAGCAGUAGUAUCCUUCCUCUGUAACUAUAAGUCAUUUGAAGUCUUGCUCAUAUUUGUCUUCACUUGCGUGUCUUUUCCGUUGUUUGGUUGAUUUUUGUUCAAUUUCCACAACUUCAACAUUACUAUCAAUUUUAUUUAACUUAUUUGGUCUAGUAUUUUCUUUAUCAUCAUCGUCAUCUGCCUUUUUUUUCCCCCGAUUGAUAAAUGAAAACAUUGAAAUUUGACGAUUGGACGCCAUCUUUGUCAAUGAAAACAAGGCGGGAUUAGUAUUCAAAUUUUAACGGUACGGAACCGAAAAAAAAACGGAUUUUGAAAAAAAAGCCGACCACCUCCUAAAAUUGAAAGGUGGUCGGCUUUCAAAAGAAGGUGGUCGGCACACCCGGCUUAAAUGCCGAAUGGAAAACACUGACUGACUUGAAAGAGAAAAAACUUUUCAUACAGUUAGAUUUAUUGACUACCAAAGUAUUUUUUAUGACAAUCACACAUAUCAAAGUAUUAAACAUAAGAUUAAACAAGCACUAUCAUUUAUUCUACCAUUAUGUAACAGAACUAUUGAGGUUUACAGCAAAUCCGAUGUAUAUUUCUUGCAUUUCUGACUUACAAAAUUUAUAUAGGUCAUAUUUUGGCAACAGAAAUUAUCUGAAGAAAACAAAAGAUUUUGUUGUUCAAUUCAAAGGUAAUAUUUAAAGAUUAUAAAAUAUAAGUUACAGUUAACCUUUAUAAAUCAGUAAUACAUAUAACGAAAUUUAAUUCACCAGUUUAUUGCAAGGAUGCAAAAAGAGUUUGUUUGACUCAAAUAGUUUCUAUAUUUAAUAUAGGUAGUCCUGUAUUUAUGGUUGUCGAACAACUGUGAAUUCUUUUACAAACUUCCACUUAAAUAGGUAAUCCUUUAAAACAAAAGAUGAAAUAGUGUUGCAAUAUUGUGAAAAAGUACUUCCAAAGACACAUAUAAUUAAUCUAUGUAUUUUUUGUAACCUAUUAUUAAGAUAUUCAUAUUUUAUUUCCUACAAAAACAAGUCCCUGAAUUGACUGGUUGACAAAUCGUUAGUGAGAUAGAGAGUGUGAAAUAUGGUGCUGAAGUUUUAUCAGAACUUUAUGUAUGUAUGUGUCUUAAUCUAUGCAAUUAGAUUAAUAAAGCUUAUUGAAAUUAUAA
rnacentral:lncRNA from 1 species